AUCAUCCCAGGGUUAGUCGGUCCUAAGCCGAGGCGCAGCAGCGUAGGCGAUGGACAACGGGUUAAUAUUCCCGUACCGGCGUGUACUUGUCUUUAGAUGCGCGGCAUGAUAGCGAAAGCGGAUUCAUGGUUAUAUCCGUCUAACUGGUCUAACGGGCCAGAAAUGCGAGGCGCCCUUCGGGGCGCUGAGUUUCGUCAAAGUACCGACGAGAAAAGUCUAAAGACUUAUGGUACAAGCCGACCGUACCGCAAACCGACACAGGUGCUUUAGGGCGAGUAGCCCAAGGUGUACGAGUGAUUCUUCGUCAAGGAACUCGGCAAUACAGCGACCGUAACUUAGGGAUAAGGUCCCCCAGCCCUAGUUUUGGGCUAUACUGUUGCCAUGUUCUAUGUGUAUCUGUUGCAACAUAGUGAGACAAACGAGAUUUACAUCGGCUAUACGGCCGAUCUAAAGACACGCGUUUUGGCGCACAAUGCAAAAGGUACCAAGUUUACGACCAGAAAGACUGGUCAAUGGUUUCUAAAGUACUACGAAGCUUUUGUGUCUGAAGAAGAUGCCAAAGCUCGUGAACGUAAGCUUAAGAAACAUGGCAGCGCCAAGCAAAAGCUAGUGGUGAGACUUAAGGAGAGUAUUACUCCUUGAGCCCAAAACUAGGGCUGGGUGCAACAAAAGAACCCAUGGAACUGUUUACCAAAAACACAGGUCUCUGCUAACACGAAAGUGGAUGUAUAGGGGCUGACUCCUGCCCGGUGCUGGAAGGUUAAGGGGAUGA
rnacentral:rRNA from 1 species